GGGAGCGUUAGGAUUCGACGUUGGUAUGAACUUUAAUAAUUUGCAGGUCGAGCCUGAAGUAAGCUUGUAAAACUGCUUCAAAAAUCACGGCAACAGAACAGCCGCGUUUGCUUACGCCUAACUUUAGCGCGUAGCCAUCGGAGUGGCGAAGCUUCAUAGCCACAAUUCCGGUGUAAUAUAUGGAGAUCGGAUUAGACUUUCGGACCAAAUCGCUAAUCCUAAAAACAAAGGUCCAAACUUGUCCCUGCUUCUCGGGCUCUAGAGAAGACAAGCCUGUAGACGAUUAUUAGAGGUACUAAUGGACGGGGCUUCGAUGCCCCCGCUUCCACAA
rnacentral:tmRNA from 1 species